rnacentral:rRNA from 1 species
UACGUAGGGUGCAAGCGUUAAUCGGAAUUACUGGGCGUAAAGCGUGCGCAGGCGGCUUUGCAAGACAGAUGUGAAAUCCCCGGGCUUAACCUGGGAAUGGCAUUUGGGACUGCAAGGCUGGAGUGCGGCAGAGGAGACUGGAAUUCCUGGUGUAGCAGUGAAAUGCGUAGAUAUCAGGAGGAAUACCGAUGGCGAAGGCAGGUCUCUGGGCUGACACUGACGCUCAUGCACGAAAGCGUGGGGAGCAAACAGG